rnacentral:rRNA from 1 species
GGCCGGGGGGGGGUGCUACACAUGCACGUCGAACGAAGCGCCCGCGCGGAUUCCCUCGGGAUGAAGCGCGGACGCCUGAGAGGCGGACGGGUGAGUCACGCGUGGGCAACCUGCCCUGUGCCGGGGGACAACAGCCGGAAACGGCUGCUAAUACCGCAUGAUCCGGGAGGGCCGCAUGGCCCUGCCGGCAAAGCUCCGGCGGCACGGGAUGGGCCCGCGUCUGAUUAGUUUGUUGGCGGGGUAACGGCCCACCAAGACUGCGAUCAGCAGCCGGCCUGAGAGGGCGGCCGGCCACAUUGGGACUGAGACACGGCCCAGACUCCUGCGGGAGGCAGCAGUGGGGAAUAUUGCACAAUGGGGGAAACCCUGAUGCAGCGACGCCGCGUGGGCGACGAAGCGCUCCGGCGCGUAAAGCCCUGUCAGCAGGGAAGAAAAAAGACAGUACCUGACCAAGAAGCCCCGGCUAACUACGUGCCAGCAGCCGCGGUAAUACGUAGGGGGCAAGCGUUAUCCGGAUUCACUGGGCGUAAAGGGAGCGCAGGCGGCACGGCAAGUCUGGUGUGAAAGCCCGGGGCCCAACCCCGGGACUGCAUUGGAAACUGCCGGGCUGGAGUGCCGGAGAGGUAAGCGGAAUCCCUGGUGUAGCGGUGAAAUGCGCAGAUAUCAGGAAGAACACCGGUGGCGUAGGCGGCUUACUGGACGGCAACUGACGCUGAGGCUCGAAAGCGUGGGGAGCAAACAGGAUUAUAUACCCUUGUACCCCCCGCCGUCAACAAUGACUACCAUCUGUCGGCGGUCCG